rnacentral:rRNA from 1 species
AGAGUUUGAUCCUGGCUCAGGAUGAACGCUGGCGGCGUGCCUAACACAUGCAAGUCGAGCGAUUCUCUUCGGAGAAGAGCGGCGGACGGGUGAGUAACGCGUGGGUAACCUGCCCUGUACACACGGAUAACAUACCGAAAGGUAUGCUAAUACGAGAUAAUAUGCUUUUAUCGCAUGGUAGAAGUAUCAAAGCUCCGGCGGUACAGGAUGGACCCGCGUCUGAUUAGCUAGUUGGUAAGGUAACGGCUUACCAAGGCGACGAUCAGUAGCCGACCUGAGAGGGUGACCGGCCACAUUGGGACUGAGACACGGCCCAAACUCCUACGGGAGGCAGCAGUGGGGAAUAUUGCACAAUGGGCGAAAGCCUGAUGCAGCAACGCCGCGUGAGCGAUGAAGGCCUUCGGGUCGUAAAGCUCUGUCCUCAAGGAAGAUAAUGACGGUACUUGAGGAGGAAGCCCCGGCUAACUACGUGCCAGCAGCCGCGGUAAUACGUAGGGGGCUAGCGUUAUCCGGAUUUACUGGGCGUAAAGGGUGCGUAGGCGGUCUUUUAAGUCAGGAGUGAAAGGCUACGGCUCAACCGUAGUAAGCUCUUGAAACUGGAGGACUUGAGUGCAGGAGAGGAGAGUGGAAUUCCUAGUGUAGCGGUGAAAUGCGUAGAUAUUAGGAGGAACACCAGUAGCGAAGGCGGCUUUCUGGACUGUAACUGACACUGAGGCACGAAAGCGUGGGGAGCAAACAGGAUUAGAUACCCUGGUAGUCCACGCCGUAAACG